rnacentral:rRNA from 1 species
CAAUAGCGUAUAUUAAAGUUGUUGCGGUUAAAAAGCUCGUAGUUGGAUUUCUGCCGAGGACGACCGGUCCGCCCUCUGGGUGUGUAUCUGGUUUGGCCUGGGCAUCUUCUUGGAGAACGUAGCUGCACUUGACUGUGUGGUGCGGUGUCCAGGACUUUUACUUUGAGGAAAUUAGAGUGUUCACGGCAGGCAAUCGCCUUGAAUAUAUUAGCAUGGAAUAAUAACAUAGGAUCUUUGUCCUAUUUUGUUGGUUUCUAGGGCUGAGAUAAUGAUUAAUAGGGAUAAUUGGGGGCAUCUGUAUCAACGCGUCAGAGGUGGAAUUCUUGGAUUGCGUUGCGACAAACUACUGCGAAAGCAUUUGCCAAGGAUGUUUUCAUUGA